AUUGAACGCUGGCGGCAUGCCUUACACAUGCAAGUCGAACGGUAACAGGUCUUCGGAUGCUGACGAGUGGCGAACGGGUGAGUAAUACACCGGAACGUGCCCGAUCGUGGGGGAUAACGAAGCGAAAGCUUUGAUAAUACCGCAUACGAUCUAUGGAGGAAAGCAGGGGACCGCAAGGCCUUGCGCGAACGGAGCGGCGGAUGGCAGAUUAGGUAGGUGGUGGGAUAGAAGCGUACCAAGCCGACGAUCUGUAGCUGGUCUGAGAGGACGACCAGCCACACUGGGACUGAGACACGGCCCAGACUCCUACGGGAGGCAGCAGUGGGGAAUUUUGGACAAUGGGCGAAAGCCUGAUCCAGGCAUGCCGCGUGCAGGAUGAAGGCCUUCGGGUUGUAAACUGCUUUUGUACGGAACGAAAAGACUCUGGUUAAUACCUGGGGUCCAUGACGGUACCGUAAGAACAAGCACCGGCUAACUACGUGCCAGCAGCCGCAGUAAAAC
rnacentral:rRNA from 1 species